GGCGGAGGUGGCGUCGGCGCUGCCGGUGCCGACGCCCGACGAGCUGCCCAGCGCGUCCAGCCUCGGGUUCGACGGCCACGGCCUCGGGUUCGGCGGGCCCGGCGACGUGUGCUGCGGCGGCGGCGGGUACGGCUGGUUCGGCGGGCCCGGCGGGUACGGCCCCGGAACGUACGGGUACACCGGCCCGCUCUACUGGGGGGCGGCGCCGGCGGGAGGGUGGGGGAGCGUGGCCGCGGCCAACGUCGUGGUGCCGCUCGUCGUGGCUUGCGUCUCUGCAGCCCUCGCUUAUUAGCAUGCAUGCAGUAUAUAAAUUACUUGUAAUUUUUACAGGGGAAUUAUUAAGGUUACUCUACAUGUUUACCGCGCCUUUGCGCGAGCAUAUAAUUUUCCUUGUACACGUUUGCACUUAUGCUAACCACAAUAAUAAUAUGAAGUGGGCACUGUGGUUAAAUUUGAGAUGUGAA
rnacentral:lncRNA from 1 species